CGACUGGCACCCAGGCUAGGUUGGGAGGUACAGAUUGACUGGCACCCAGGCUAGGUUGAGAGGUACAGAUUGACUGGCACCCAGGCUAGGUUGAGAGGUACAGAUUGACUGGCACCCAGGCUAGGUUGAGAGGUACAGAUUGACUGGCACCCAGGCUAGGUUGAGAGGUACAGACUGACUGGCACCCAGGCUAGGUUGAGAGGUACAGACUGACUGGCACCCAGGCUAGGUUGAGAGGUACAGAUUGACUGGCACCCAGGCUAGGUUGAGAGGUACAGAUUGACUGGCACCCAGGCUAGGUUGAGAGGUACAGACUGGC
ensembl:lncRNA